rnacentral:rRNA from 1 species
UACAGAGGGUGCGAGCGUUGUCCGGAAUCACUGGGCGUAAAGGGCUCGUAGGCGGCCAACUAAGUCAGACGUGAAAUCCCUCGGCUUAACCGGGGAACUGCGUCUGAUACUGGAUGGCUUGAGUGUGGGAGAGGAAUGCGGAAUUCCAGGUGUAGCGGUGAAAUGCGUAGAUAUCUGGAGGAACACCGGUGGCGAAGGCGGCAUUCUGGACCAUUACUGACGCUGAGGAGCGAAAGCCAGGGGAGCAAACGGG